CAGUCAAAAAUAUUAGUCAAUGCUCGAAAGAGUGAACUAGCUAACUGAAAUCAAUUCUAAAAAUUGAUAACAUAAGGGAAAAUAAUGAUAUUACCUUAUUAUUAGUGUCGUCCAAAACUGGUGCCAGAAGACUCGGUAAGGCCAGAGACAUAAACGUUAAUCGUCUUAAUCAGGCGUAAAGGGUUUGUAGGCGGCUUUUAAUUAAUUUAUAAAUCUGAAAUAAAGAUAAAUAAAUUAAGAAUAAAAGCUAGAAUCAAAUAGAGGAUAUAUGAAAUAAUGCUUAGAGUAGGUCUGAUAUCCUUAAAUACUAAGUAGAAUAUUAAAGGCGAAAGCUUUUUUCCAUUAAUGAUUGACGCUCAGAAACGAAGGUGAGGAUAGGAAAUAGGAUUAGAUACCCAAAAUACCCCUCUCUGUCAACGAUGAAUGGUAGUUAUUAGUAAUAAAUUUAUUAAUGACAAUGUUAACACAAUAACCAUUCCGCCUUGUGAGUACAACUGCAAAGUUGAAAACAAAAAAAUUAGUCGGUUUCGGAGCAAACGAAGUGAAGCAUGUUAUUUAAUUCGAUAAUCCGCAAA
rnacentral:rRNA from 1 species